AAGUAAGAAGCGAUUAUUGCAUCCAGUUUCGACCUGGCCAUUUGAUGACUUCAUCCUUAUUUA
rnacentral:tRNA from 1 species